AAAAAGUUCAAUACAAAUUAAAAUAAAUGGGUCAGGCCUAAAAGUGACCUGACCUGGAUCCAACGAACAUAUGCAACAAAAAAUAUCUGAUAACCAUGGUUUAGAAUUUAUUUUGGAAAGUGAAGCAGCCAUAGAUCGUCUUCUCCGCCAAGAUUGCUAAUGAGUUCACAUCGAUUUGCUUUAGUUUCUCUCUCACCCUAUGCGGAUCAUCAGCUAUCCUCCUCUCCCUUUGUUAAGCUAAGUUUCUAAACUUGUAAUUACCUUCUUCCCUUUUCUAGUUUAAUGAGUUGAGUUUCUUAAGAAACUAAUACCAUCAUUUGUACUAAAAAUUGAGUCCAGUAACUAAAGUUUGACAACAUUGAUUUCGUAAAAGGUGUGUCUAAUCCACUCUUUGGUAUUUUGCAUAUCUGCCAUGGCUAAUGUUUGAGCAUUCUCUCCUUCCUCACAUAUUCCUCUCUCUCUAUUAUGAUACUACAUAUUAUUUUAGCAAAAAAUUGAUGAAUAAGGUGAAAUCAUGAAGCUUAAAAUUGAACAUUUACUUGAAGAGUAUGUUCCUACUGCAUCAAUUGAACAACGAUAUGUCAAGUUUUGCGUCUAAUUUCAUCUUCUUUCCCUGUUUCCUUUAUUUUUUUAGUCUUUAAAUCGUUUGAAUGUUUGAUUUUUUCAAUUACAUUUUGUUUGUUUUGAUUCUCUUAAAACCACUGUUGCAUUAUAUGUUCCUACUUUUGAUUUUUGUUCCUCUUUUUGCUUUGCAUGUUCGAAGAUUUCAUUUUUUUAAAGCCAUUCUGAUUUAAUUUCUUGUCUGAGGUGUGAUUUUUUUGAGUUUUACAUAUAAUAUGUGUCCGGUAUGCUUAAUGUUGACAAUUUUGAAUAUCCUGAUGUUUGCAUAUCAACUGAGAUAGUUGAAUUUGAGGUAUGGAAUAAAAAUAAAAGCAGGUAAAUAGAAAUAUUGUGAUUUGGUUUGUCAUUUUUGAGUUACUAUUGUUAUUAUUUUCGAAAAAUUGAGGAAGAUCGUCAAAUCUAACAACAUUUUGAUCAAACAGUAUGUUUGUAUACUAAAUUUAGAAUCUAAUUAGUAGUACUUGAAUUCGUUGUUUAAAAUUUAGAACUCAUAAAUUUAAAAUCUCGAUUCCAUCCCAAACUCUGAACCCAUAUAAAUUGGCAUAACUAGUACCAAUGGAAGUCUGUUGUUCAUAGCUCUUCACUACUUUAGUGUUUGAUGUUUCAUUUGUAAUAUAGUGUGUGUUGUGUAUAGUUAGAUGGAUACAGAUAGGACAAUGUUCAAUUAGACAGAUGCCAAACAAAUUUUGUUCUUGAAUAACAAUAGAUAUUUGGAAUUUUUUUGAGGUAUGUAUUCAGUGGAUAUGAAUUAGACCAUGUGGGUGGAGCCCUCAAUUAUUGUUGUUGAUAGAUAUGGAGAUUGGCGUUGUUACCUUGAAUUGACUUUAAUUAUUAUUUAUGAAAGUAGUUAAGACGAUGUUAUAUAAUAUUUUAUCCUGUUAGGUUUAAGGGAAAUGUUAUAUGAUGUUAGAGGACCCUUUUCUAGUAUCAAUGUUUAUUAGCCAGGAGAAAGUUUUAUUUGUUUUCUCAUUUCAUGUUAGCUCUUUUUAUGGGUUGUCUCUGUAGUGUUAUUGCUCUUUAAAAGAUUUCUUAUUUGUAUAGUCUUACAUGAUGAUAAGAAAAACAAUAAAAAGUCACAAGCUAGGAGACAUCAACCAAACAUACAUCUUUCACUUAUUUGUAUAGCAUGACACGUUGAUAAUAAAAACAAUAAAAAAUCAUAAGCUGGGAAACGUUUGCCGAACAUACAACUUUUUGCUUAUUUUUAUAGCAUGAAAUGUUGAUAAGAAAAACAAUAAAAAGUUACAAGCUAGGAGACAUCUGCCAAACAUGCAGCUUUCAAUGUUGAUAAGUUUCUCUAUUAUUUAAUCUCUCGAACUUUGCAAGUGCAUCCUCUGUGGGGCUUAUAACAUCUUUGUGGGGAUCAAAUUUAGGAUUGGUUUGUCAUAUGAUGGAAUAAGUUGAUAUUUUUGAUAUCAGAUGUCGAUUUAUGCAGUCAGUAGCAUUUUCUACUAUUUUUUAUUCAUACUGUGUUUUGUACUUAAUGAUAGCUAAUUCAAUUGAUUGUCAUUCACUAUGUAGGAACGAAAAACUAUGAUUCCAUCAAAAGUCCUGGAUUUUAUAAGCACUUUGCGAUCAACAUUUUUGUUUUUGGAGGCUCUUUAUAUCCCUACAAUUGCUGCCAUUGAGGGUAUAACAUUGGGUGGGGGACUUGAAAUGGCAAUGUUUUGUGAUAUCUGGAUAUGUGUUUGAUGAUGCAUUACUUAGGUGAAGAUGCAGUGUUGGGUUUACCUGAAAUAGGACUUGCUAUAAUACUAGGGUAUGCCUCAAUUACACAUUAUAUGUUUACUUAUACAAAAUCUAUAAAUUUGGUGAAGGAUGUGUUAUGUUUUAGUUUUAUCAGAUCAGCUGGAUAUUUCCACUAACAGCCUCUUACAGAAAUACAGGGUAAGGUUUCAUAUAAAUAAAACCUUGAGGUUUGUCCCUUCCCUGGAUCCCGCUUCCUUUUAGCUGAUAUUCCAUUAUCUUGAAGUCACUUCAGCACUUUUACCAUUCAUAAGUUUGAAACUUUGGAAGUUUCUUUAAAUAUUCUGUAUACUAAGAUGUUUUAUUAAAGCUAGCUUCUUAUUCAAUACCUAUAUUUUAUAGAGCAGGAGGUACAAAACUGCUUCCUAGAUUGGUUGGGAAAUAAAUUGCAAAAGAUUUAAUAUUUACUGGCCGAAAGAUAAGUGGGAAAGAUGUUGGAUCAAUAGGUAUAAGCAUGACUUGUCAGAGCUCACUUGUCAAGUGGACGGGGCUCCUUGUUUUUCCCAAGCCCCUUCUCCUUCUCCUCCGUGUCUCUCUUUGUCUCUCUCUCGUGGUACCCCCUCAACAAUUCCAUUUGGUCAUGCAAGGAGUGUCAAUUACUUCGUUCCUGCUGGUGAGGCUCGUCUAAAGGCGCUUGAACUUUCUAGGGAUAUUAAUCAGAAGAUCAGCUGCCUUCACCUGAGAUAGAUGCAUUCUCAAAAUAGGUAUAAGCAUUGCUGAUCAUGAGCAGUAGCAUUUUACCUAAUGGGGUGGCUAAACAAAAUUUUCAAAGGUUCUAAUCAUAAAGUUUUGGAAUGCCAAUAUGACUGGAUAUGUGAAGGACAUACAGAGAGAGAUGAUCUAUCUACCACAGGGGAAGGUCGUGUCGAUAUCAAGUAGAUGCUAUUCUUCUUGUGCUGUUCAUGGCAAAGGGCAUUAGUGUUUGCUUUGUUAUAUAACUGAGAAACUACUGUUAAUGGAUUGUGAUCAUGGAAUGACACCUUAAUCUGGUUCAAGCUUUGCAAAACAAAUCGGUGGCCAGUGUAUCAAUUCUCGGCAAGUGAUGCAAAGAGAAUGAGACAUUUAAGUGAAGCAGACUAUGAUUAUGAAGAUGAUCCAGAUCUAAUUUAAGAUCUGGCAAGAAUCCAAAGGAAAGACUUAAGUUGCAUGGGUCUCGAAGACAGUAUUGGAACCAGUAUUUUGUUCGUCAUGCAUAAAAGUGUAGCUUAACUUCAUAACUAACAGUAAGAUUUACUGUAUCCCUCUCUUUGUAAUUGAUUCUAUGACCCUUACAUACACAUUUGAUUCUCAAACAUAAUCUCAUAUUAGUAAAUAUGUAAGAACAUACCUGUGGGGAGGCAGACCGUUUAGUGUUAGAGUAUUUAUGUAAUCUUCUUGAGAGUAGUUAUUUAUAUCAUCCUCUGCAGAGUUGAAACUAUCGUUCUGGUUUCACCAGGAAAUCUGGAAAUUAACAUUUCAUUUAGUUGGUUGACGUACUCAUUUCUGCUAGCCAAGAUAGCCCGUUCAGUCAUGUAUUUUGCAGAACUUGCAUUUUCAGUCAAUGAUGGAAAUAUUUGCUCUA